AGCAAGCCACGUGGGCAAGCCCGAAACCAGGGGGCGGGAAAGUACCCUCCACCCACAAGGAAACCAUGGCAAGCGGUGGUUGCAGUGGUAUCUGUCUCUGUGAAGACUCCACCACGGGUCGCCAUCAGGUCAGAGACCCUGACAAGGUAAGAAUUUGCAUUUUCCUCUGCACACAACCCUGUUCCCUUCCCCUCCGCAUGCCUAACACAACACUCCCUUCCCCCCCAUGCCUAACAGAGAGAAAGGAGAGAGACAGUUCUUGAGCCCGGUUCUUCCUGCUUGAGCUUGGUGUGUCAACCAAAAGAGUCAAACUCUGUAAAAUAUUUGAAGGGAUUUAUUUUGAGCCUACUAUGCAUGACCAAUGGCCCAUGACAGCCUUCAGCAGAUCCUGAGAACAUGUGCCCAAGGUGAUCAGGCCACAACUUGGUUUUAUGUGUUUCAGGGAGACAUCGGACAUCAAUAAUAUAUGCGACAUGUACAGUGGUUUGAUCUGGAAAGGCUGGACAACUGGAAUGGGGUUGGGGAAGUGGACGACUUCCAGGUUAUAAGUAGAUCGAAAGAUUUUCUGAUUGGCAAUUGGUGGAAAGAGUUAAAUUACUGUCUAAAGACUUAAAAUCAACAGAAAGGAAUGUUUGGGUUAAGAUAAGAGAUUGUGGAGACCAAGGUUUUAUCACGCAGGUGAAGCCUCCAGGUGGCAGGCUUCAGAGAGAAUAGACUGUAAAUGUUUCCUUUCAGACUUAAAGAGUCUGUUCUAUCAGUAAGUCCAAAAGGAGGGAUCGUAUAAUUAGGCAUGACUGGGCUCCCCUUCCCAUCAUGGCCUGAACUAGUUUUCAGGUUAACUUUGGAAUGCCCUUUGCUGAGUGGAGAGGAGGAGUCCAUUCAGAUGGUUGGGUGAGCUUAGAAUUUUAUGUUUGGGUUUCAGUUGGCAUCCAGUAUCCCUUCCCCCAAGUUUGGGGCCCCUCCCAAAGGAGAUAGGCCUGGGUCUCUCCUCACAUCCUUGGGGGUCUCAGAACUGCAGACUCAAACCUUUUGCCUCAAGGAAUCCCUUUGAUGAUUUGCAUAAACCCUUGGGAGGCUGCAGGGGGGCUGCUCUGGAGCUGAGACACAGCGAGUCAAUCUCCCUCCAUCCCCCUUUUGUCUUGUUCUCACCCUGAGGCUGCAGGCCUCAAGUUUUUUGGCUGGAUUCUUCCCAAAGCAGGUUGGGGGUGCAGGUACUGUAAUCACCUGAUGGGUUCUUCCUGCCUACUGCACAGACAAAACCAAUCCACUGAGACCAUGGCAUUGCAGUAAAGAAAGAGUAAUUGACACAAGGCCGGGCACACAGGAAAUAGUUAUUACUCAAAUCGGUCUCCCCCAAAACUUGAAGAUUAGUUUUUCAAAGAUAGUUUGGUGGGCAGGGUCUAGGGUAGGGUAGAGGUGCUGCUGAUUGGUUGGGCAUGCAGAUAUAGGGGUAUGGAAAAUGGUCCUUGAAUGCUGAGUCUGCUUCUGGUUGGCAGCCACAGGACUGGUUGAGUCACGAGUCUCGAUGGAGCCAGAAAUGCAUAAAGAAACAUCUUUCCUUAUGCAGAUGUUGAUCAGCUGUGCUUACACAUUCCUUUGUAAGGACAGGACAGUCUCCCCUAAGUUAGGGGACAAAAGUGACUCCUACUGAUGGCAUUAGCUCUGCCCCUACUCUCAGAUGCAAUGCCAGGGACUGUGAGGACUAGAGACCCUGGAGCUGCUGGCUGGGUGUGGUCGGGGGCCAGUUAUCAGCCUCUCUGAACUCCAUGUCCUUAGUACUAAACAGAAGCCCCUUUUGCAGGGUGGGCACUGGGAAGCACUGUUGGGGCCAUCCUUUGUUGGUGGCCUCUUCUCUUCCAUCUCCUCUGGGUUUUCACGGCUUUUUCAGGAGCAGGCCUUGCCACCCUGAGUGCCCUCCAUGACCACAGCUACCUUCUGAGGAAAGAGGCCUCGGGGGUCCUCUCUGCAUGUAGUUGCCGGGCAGGCCUCGCCUGGCUGUAUAUGGGAAUCACCUGGGGAACGUUACAAACCACUAUUGUGUUGCCCUGCCUCCCAGAGAUUCUGCACCUUGUAUUAACUGAGCACCUAGAGCCAGGUGUGGUGAUGCACACCUGUAGUCCCAGCUACUCAGGAAGCUGAGGUGGGAGGAUUCCCUGAGACCAGGAGUUCAAGAUUAAGCCUGGGGAAACUACUGAGACCCCCAUCUCAAAAUUAAUUAAUUAAAAAAUACUGAGCACCUACUCAAUGGCCAGCACUGAACUAGGUGCUGGAGUUACAGUGAUCACUAAGAUAUAAUUGUUGUCCUCGAAGAACUUCAGUCAGGUGGGAAUAGAUAUUUAUUGAAUGGAAUAAUAUUUCAAGAAAUAUCUACCAAGAGGCCACUUCUUGGAAAUCCCUGUUGGAAAGAUUUUUAUCUUUUUUAUGAGCAGAGUGCAAAGUUGUCUCUUUAGAUGGAUGAAUUUUGAAGGGAAGUUAGUAAUCUAGUUCCUAUCCCCCAACCUCCCAUUUUACAGACGCAAAAACCAAGGCCAAACAGCUGAGUUUUCUGCCCUGGAGGAGGAAAGUGGUCUCUGAAAGCCAGAAGACUCUCACAUUACAUAAUUCCUGCCAGCUGCUGUCAAGAGCUGCUAAGCUGUCCUCAAGUCCUGUGUCUGAUGUCAAGCUAAUAACAGAUUUAGGGUGCAUUAGUAAAGGUAUCUUAAUCAAGUCUAGAUGCCUUCGAGAUUAGACUCAGCCAUGAUGAGCAGCUAAGGAUUAGCAAGAAAGAUUACAAAUUGUUUCCAGGAAUUUAUUUCUUUCAACACUGAUUAUAUGUAUAGUCUUAAGUCAAAUUAAAAUGUUGUUUAUGUUCA
rnacentral:lncRNA from 1 species